AUACCUCUUUUAUCUUUCUCUCUCUACGUAUCUAUCUCAUCAUUCUUUCUCUCUCUCCCUCUCUCUCUUACUCUCUCUCUCUCUCUCUCUCGUUCGCUCCUAUUUUCGUGACUUCGUUCUCAGAUCUAGGGGUUACCAGACUUUUUUCUGAUGUCCUUCUUCUCUAAUUUUCAAUCGUUGCCUUGCAAUUUAAAGAUUGGAAGAAUUGUUCAACAUCUUAUAUUGAAAGGGGUGGAGAAGACGUGAUAUUGUUAAAUCUGGAAUUUCUAUUACCAAAUCGGAGAUGAAAUCGAUUAGAGCUGACAUUGAAGCUCUUACUGAAUCAUUCAAAUAAGGAGAAAAGGAUGAUGUAACGCUAGUAAGGAAACAUCAAUGAACGAGGCUGUGGGAAACAUCUUAAUUAUCAUCUUCAUCCCCCUCUUCUACAAUUACACAACCGAAACCCUUCCUAGGGAAGACGGAAGCAGAUCUUAUUGUUAUAUGGGGUGGUACUGGUGGACUCUAUUGUGCAGGAAUCUCAGCAAGAUACGGGAAACAUGUUAUAGUUCUCAAAAAACAUGAUCUACUAGGUGAUGUUGCACAUUUUUCUGAAAGCAAAUAACCUAUCCAUCUGAUACCAAUGAAGCUCCUUCUUUAUACACAAUCAUAUAGUCAACUGAUGAUAAUAGAGAAUCUAAUUUAACGAAGAGGAAAGAAAAUGGAUUUCUCUUACAGGAGAGUAGAAAAAAAAUCAACUACAAGCCAAACAAUUGCUUGCUGCAAAGCAAAAACAAGAAGUUAAAACAGAGAGAAAAUGUUCGGUAGAGCUUAAAGAAGCAAUGCAAACGGCAAUGAAGGGUUAUGCACGGAUGCUUGAAUAAUAUGUUGAUUUAGAGGAGAAACAUAUGAACAUGCUAAUAAGGAAACAAAGAAUUCAAGAUGGAAUUGAAGAUGUGAACAAAGCAGCUAGCAUUCCCCAACAAGGGUAAAAUGGUCAAAACAACACACAAGCACUCCUCAUUAGCCAUAAGAGCAACAAGCAAACUGGUUAACAUGUUUUACCCAAGACAGAUGUGCAAAAUUUCAUAUUGUGUAUUUACAACAUUAUAGUUUCUCUUUGGAAAAUACAUUAAACACCGUUGAGUAUAACAACAAGCACUCUGAUCAUUUGGAUUUCUUCCUUGUGCUUGAUUUAGAGGGAAAAGUUGAGAUUCUUCAAUUGAUGCCAAAACCAUGGAUGUUGUAGGAUUCUUUCACAGGUUUAUCAUUGUUUUUUAGGCACAAAUUUUUCAUUAUUGAUUUAUUUCUAUAAAAAUAUCUCAUUUUUUGAAACUUAUGUUAUAGAUUUGUUAGGCCUUCAUAAAUGAGUGAAGAAAGGAUCAAUGAAUACAUUGAAGGAAAGUAUGAAAAACUAGGAGUUGAUAGGUUCAUGAGAAUAAAGCAAAGAAUUAUGAACCAGAUUGGUGCAUAUCAUGCUACUUUGACUUGUUAUAGGUUUAUGAGAAGAAAGAAACAUCAGAAGGUUUGUCCAUGCUAUUUGCCCAUCUUGCAAUCCACACGUGAGUUUAUUUUUUUUGCCCUUUUGUGAUUUUAUUCUUUUAUCCUAUUACAAGUUAGUUUCCCUUUUACCUUUUUGUAGUAAAAGGUAGCUUUUAUACUAGGGAAAGUUCACAUAAUAUGACAAAAAUUCACAAGUGAUUCACAUAUGAAUUACAUGUGAUUCACAUGUAAUUCGCAUGUAAAUCACAAGUGAAUCACAUAUGAGUUACAUGUGAUUCAUAUGUAAUUUACAUAUGAAUCACAUGUAUUUCACAAGUAAAUCACAAGUGAUUCACAUAUGAAUUACAUGUGAUUCACAUAUAAAUCACAUGCGAUUCACAUAUGAAACAAAUGUGAUUCACAAGUGAAUCACAUAUGAAAUAUGAAUUACAUGUGAUUCACAUAUAAAUCACAUGUGAUUCACAUAUAAAUCACAUGCAAUUCACAAGUGAAUCACAUAUGAAUUACAGGUGAUUCACAUAUAAAUCACAUGUGAUUCACAUAUAAAUCACAUGUGAUUCACAUAUGAAACACAUGUAAUUCACAAGUGAAUCACAUAUGAAAUAUGAAUUACAUGUGAUUCACAUAUAAAUCACAUGUGAUUCACAAGUGAAUCACAUAUGAAAUAUGAAUUACAUGUGAUUCACAUAUAAAUCACAUGUGAUUCACAUGCAAAUCACAAGUGAAUCACAUAUGAAUUACAUGUGAUUCACAUAUAAAUCACAUGUGAUUCACAUACGAAACACAUGUAAUUCACAAGUGAAUCACAUAUGAAAUAUGAGUUACAUGUGAUUCACAUAUUGUGAUUAGAUACGUAUAAUCACAUAUUCAAUCGAAACCGCAAAAACAAAUAUUUUGAUUAGAUACGUAUAAUCACAUAUGAUUAUAUACACAAGAACUACUAUUUAAUCGAGAACACAAAGAUAAAUAUUGUCCACAUAUAUCAUAUGUGAUUAAAUGCAUAUAAUCACAAGUGAUUAUAUGUAUCUAAUCACAUAGAAUUUAUGCGAAAAAUAUUUAUUUUCGUGUUCUCGAUUCAAUUAUUGUUCUUGUGCGCUUAAUUACAUGAGAUUAUAUGUAUCUAAUUAGAUAUGAUUUACAUGGACAAUAUUCAUUUUUACAUUCUUGUUUAAUAGCUAUUCUUGUACAUUUAGUCACAUAUGAUUUCUGUACAAGAUUCAUUUUCGCGUUUUUGAUUAAAUAGUUUUUCUUUUCCACAUUAAUCAUAUGUGAUUAAUACAUACAAUCACAUAUGAUUAAAUACAUAAAAAAAAUAUUGACUCAUGAAUAUUAUCAAUAUAAAUCAUAUGUGAUUUGAUACAUAUAAUCACAUGUGAUUAAGUACAUGAGUACAACUAUUGAAUUGAAAAGAAAUAAUGAAUCUUGUCCACAUAAAUCAUAUGUGAUUAAAUACAUAUAAUCACAUGUGAUUAAACAUAUUAGAACAAUUAUUGAAUCGACGCAAGAAUAAAUAUUUUUCAUACGAAUCAUAUGUGAUUAGAUAUAUAUAUAUAUAUAUAUAUAUAUAUAUAUAUAUAUAUAUAUAUAUAUAUAUAUAAUCAUAUGUGACUAAAUACACAAGAACAAAUAUUGAAUCAACAUGUGAAAACAAAUAUUGUCCAGGUAAAUCAUAUGUGAUUAUAUACAUAUAAUCACAUAUGAUUUAAUACACAU